AUUACUUUGGCAGAAUAGUGCAAUG
rnacentral:tRNA from 1 species